UACGUAGGUGGCAAGCGUUAUCCGGAAUUAUUGGGCGUAAAGCGCGCGCAGGCGGUUUCUUAAGUCUGAUGUGAAAGCCCACGGCUCAACCGUGGAGGGUCAUUGGAAACUGGGGAACUUGAGUGCAGAAGAGAAAAGCGGAAUUCCACGUGUAGCGGUGAAAUGCGUAGAGAUGUGGAGGAACACCAGUGGCGAAGGCGGCUUUUUGGUCUGUAGCUGACGUUGAGGCGCGAAAGCGUGGGGAGCAAACAGG
rnacentral:rRNA from 1 species